GAGGAUGCGAGCGUUAUCCGGAUUUAUUGGGUUUAAAGGGUGCGCAGGCGGCACUGCAAGUCAGCGGUCAAAAUGCGGGGCUCAACCCCGUCGAGCCGUUGAAACUGCGGUCCUUGAGUGCGCGAGAAGUAUGCGGAAUGCGUGGUGUAGCGGUGAAAUGCAUAGAUAUCACGCAGAACUCCGAUUGCGAAGGCAGCAUACCGGCGCGCAACUGACGCUCAUGCACGAAAGCGUGGGUAGCGAA
rnacentral:rRNA from 1 species